GGCCAGGAAUUAGAAUGACCACAUACAGGGAUCUUAGCCCAGAAGUAACCAAGACAGAGGGGCGCCUGGAAGUGACAAAGCGUGUAAAAGGGCACUCAAAUACAACACACAUGAAACCUAAGCAGUUGUAGUGCCAGUUAUCAGAUAUGAAUGUCCAUCUCUGCAUCUGCCUCUCAGAGUUCAUGAAGGGCCACAAAAAAGCUCGGAAAACAAAGAUCAACAUAGACCAACACACUGAAUCAUCAACCCACCAUGAGUCUUCUUUUGACAGUAGAUAGGUGCUCAUUUGUCCACCGAAGUCUGCCUUGCCAACCCAAUCAGUGAUACAAGUGGCAUUCACUACAAUCAGCUGAAGAAACCCUACAGGUUAAGGAGCUUCUUAACUAGACAACAAACAUAUGCUGGAGCUGAUGCCGAACUGUUCAUUCUCCUUUCAUUAAGAAGGGUAGGGAAUCCUUAGACACACCAAUAGUGCUCAGAUAAUUGGUGAUAUGACCUCUGGAAAAGUUCUGGAAUUUAAUGGGCUUACAAGGUUUUACAGAGCAGAAGCACUGAUGAUGGUUCACUUAUCAACUAAGAGAGUGUCCAAACAACUAAAUAACUGGGCAUUAUCAUGCCUACUUCUGGAUGAAUACUAAUCAUCAGAACAAUCCUGAUAAUGCUGUCAUUGUGAAAGUGCUAAUCCCAUUUUGCAGAUGAAUAAACUAAGGGAGAAAGUUUAAGUGACAACAGUAAGUCAACAUCAGAGCUAGGAUUAAAAGAAUGGUAUAUUUUAGCAAAGUUAACAGAAUUAACACACACCAGUAAGGACCACAGCUGGCUACCAUUUCCUCAGUUUCUCUUCUACUAGUAAUGCUCCAGAUACUAUUGGCUUUCCAAGGAUCACAGGGAUCCCACUCCACCAACAAACAUCCAGGUAUUGUUGCUCACCAACUGACUGCAAAUUACUUGUCCCACAUACUGCUUGUGAUUUCAUGUCAUCCAGAAGCCAGCCUUGGUCUGUACCUCAUUGCACACAAUACUCAAGGCAUCUUGAACAGACCAUUGCUUCUCUUUGAUGGACUACAGACAUCCUUUUCUCACCAACUUGUCAGCAAGCUACUCAGAAUCUACUCUUUCAAGCUUCUCAUUUUCAAUUAUACAACUACAAUUAAAUUAGGUGAACGCUAAUCAACAUAUUCAAACAAUUACACAUGCCAUGUAAGUUGACAGCUGGCAACUAUGCUACCUCAUGUUUUAUUGAUUGCAAUGUAGGGAUACUGGCUCCUCAGCUUGUAAUCAAAUAUUGCCUCAACAAUUCACAUCACAUGAUAACAACUUGAUCAGAACUAAGAAGGUUUCUUACAUAUCACUGCAUUUGUUAAGCUGUAUGUUUUGUCUCCUCUAACAUGUUGUUCUGGGGACAGAGGAAUAGAAGGAAAUACU